GGGGGCGUACUGGUUUCGACGGGGACACGAAGAACGGGAUAAGCGAGCCGAGGACCCUGGCCUCGUAAAAACGGGGAACCUUUAAAAUGAACUGACAAUAACAGUUUCGCUUUCGCUGCCUAAUAUGGCGGCCGUCGCCCCGAAGCGCUCACGGCUUCGGUAAGCGGCGUCAUUGAUGUGAGGAACGGGUCUGCCUAAGCUUUGCGGCAGUACCGGCACUAUGAAGCUACCAAUGUCUCCAGCCCGUUUACCGGCGGCCGACAGCGGGAAAUUCAAAAGGUAAACUGCGCUCGGAGAAAAUGCCGCAAUUUGGUCUUCGGACAGGGGUUCGAUUCCCCUCGCCUCCACCA
rnacentral:tmRNA from 1 species